GCGGAAGAGACAUUACCGAGUUUACAACUCCCAAACCCCAAUGUGAACGUUACCAAUCUGUUGCCUCGGCGGGAUUCUCUUGCCCCGGGCGCGUCGCAGCCCCGGAUCCCAUGGCGCCCGCCGGAGGACCAACUCCAAACUCUUUUUUUCUCUCCGUCGCGGCUCCCGUCGCGGCUCUGUUUUAUUUUUGCUCUGAGCCUUUCUCGGCGACCCUAGCGGGCGUCUCGAAAAUGAAUCAAAACUUUCAACAACGGAUCUCUUGGUUCUGGCAUCGAUGAAGAACGCAGCGAAAUGCGAUAAGUAAUGUGAAUUGCAGAAUUCAGUGAAUCAUCGAAUCUUUGAACGCACAUUGCGCCCGCCAGUAUUCUGGCGGGCAUGCCUGUCCGAGCGUCAUUUCAACCCUCGAACCCCUCCGGGGGGUCGGCGUUGGGGAUCGGCCCCUCACCGGGCCGCCCCCGAAAUACAGUGGCGGUCUCGCCGCAGCCUCUCCUGCGCAGUAGUUUGCACACUCGCACCGGGAGCGCGGCGCGGCCACAGCCGUAAAACACCCCAAACUUCUGAAAUGUUGACCUCGGAUCAGGUAGGAAUACCCGCUGAACUUAAGCAUAUCAA
rnacentral:rRNA from 1 species